GCGGCGUGCUACGGGCGCUAAGUCAGGCAGGGAAGAGGGCGAGACGUUCUCUCACUCUCUCUCCCUGUCGAGACGAAGCUGAGAUUGUACCGUGAUUACUCGAUCAAGUUAAUGCUUGCGUGGGAAAGUGCUGCCGCUCUUCC
rnacentral:ncRNA from 1 species